AUUGAACGCUGGCGGCAUGCCUUACACAUGCAAGUCGAACGGCAGCACGGGAGCUUGCUCCUGGUGGCGAGUGGCGAACGGGUGAGUAAUACAUCGGAACGUACCCUGAAGUGGGGGAUAACGUAGCGAAAGUUACGCUAAUACCGCAUAUUCUGUGAGCAGGAAAGAGGGGGAUCGCAAGACCUCUUGCUUUAGGAGCGGCCGAUGUCGGAUUAGCUAGUUGGUGAGGUAAAGGCUCACCAAGGCGACGAUCCGUAGCGGGUCUGAGAGGAUGAUCCGCCACACUGGGACUGAGACACGGCCCAGACUCCUACGGGAGGCAGCAGUGGGGAAUUUUGGACAAUGGGCGCAAGCCUGAUCCAGCCAUGCCGCGUGCAGGAUGAAGGCCU
rnacentral:rRNA from 1 species